GUGGACGGAGCCUCCCGGCUCGCUGCUCCCGCCGGCGGAGCGAGGCUGCCCUUUCUUCGCAGCGUGAUUUAUUUUCUUCUUUUUUUCUGAACUCUUCUUCCAGGGAGAGGCUAGUGGUAACAGGCCGAGCUGGAUGGAUGGGUAUGGGGAGAGGGGCAGGACGUUCAGCCCUGGGAUUCUGGCCGACCCUCGCCUUCCUUCUCUGCAGCUUCCCCGCAGACAGCUAUUAAAAGAAGCCCAGGAAGUUUCUGCGCAGCGUUGGAGAUGAGGAGACUGUGGAAUUUGAUGUCGUGGAAGGAGAGAAGGGUGCAGAAGCCGCUAAUGUAACUGGGCCCGGGGAGGUGCCCGUGAAGGGCAGCUGUUAUGCCCCCAACCUACGUAAGUUUCGCCGAUUCAUCCCCCGGCCUCCCUCAGUUGCCCCACCACCCAUGGUGGCAGAGAUCCCUUCAGCGGGGACAGAACCUGGCAGAGAA
rnacentral:lncRNA from 1 species